UACAGAGGUCUCAAGCGUUGUUCGGAUUCAUUGGGCGUAAAGGGUGCGUAGGCGGCGCGGUAAGUCGGGUGUGAAAUCUCGGAGCUUAACUCCGAAACUGCAUUCGAUACUGCCGUGCUUGAGGACUGGAGAGGAGACUGGAAUUUACGGUGUAGCGGUGAAAUGCGUAGAUAUCGUGAGGAAGACCGGUGGCGAAGGCGGAUCUCUGGACAGUUCCUGACGCUGAGGCGCGAAGGCCAGGGGAGCAAACGGG
rnacentral:rRNA from 1 species